CCUACGGGAGGCAGCAGUAGGGAAUAUUGCUCAAUGGGGGGAACCCUGAAGCAGCAACGCCGCGUGGAGGAUGAAGGUUUUCGGAUUGUAAACUCCUUUUUGUAGAGAAGAUAAUGACGGUAUCUAACGGGUAAGCACCGGCUAACUCCGGACCAGCAGCCGCCGGAAUACGGAGGGUGCAAGCGUUACUCGGAAUCACUGGGCGUAAAGCGCGCGUAGGCGGGUUAGCAAGUCAGAUGUGAAAUCCUAUGGCUUAACCAUAGAUCUGCAUUUGAAACUGUUAUUCUAGAGUAUGGGAGAGGUAUGUGGAAUUCUUGGUGUAGGGGUAAAAUCCGUAGAGAUCAAGAGGAAGCCUCAUUGCGAAGGCGACCUGCUAGAACAUAACUGACGCUGAUGCGCGAAAGCGUGGGGAGCAAACAGGAUUAGAUACCCUUGUAGUC
rnacentral:rRNA from 1 species